CCUUUGCCAUGAACACAACUCAAGUGAGUUUCGAGUCUUUUUUUCCUCAACAACGUUCGGCCACAAAUCGUGCAUUUGUAAUACGAUCGAUACUUGUCGAUUACUUCUACAUAGAGUGAACCCACAUCAUUAUUUAUAUCACCAAGGUAUCCAUCGUCUAGAAACAGAGAACCGGUCGGAGAAGUCAAAAUAAAGUUGUGCGCUUCUCUUAACACUGCAAUCGGCAAGCCAGCGGAUUCACUUUGCUAGCCAAUGACAAGUCCCUAAAAGAUCCACGUGAUCAUGCCCGUGAUCAGAAACAAAGAAGACUCCAUUUGGCGCUCAUCUUUGAAUGUACUUUUCAUCGGUUGAUCGUUUUUCUCAACUGUUUUGCUUAAUAUAACAUUUCUAAAGAUAGCUUUUAUUGUGGUUCAAUGGGAAAACGAGAACAGCGUGAGUGUUGUAAAAGAAAAGAAAGUCGUUGGCGCCGUGGAGUUAAAAGAAGGGACAACAGUUGACAUCUUGACUAGUACAAACAAGGGUCGAGUGGCCAUCUGUAAAGCUACGAUUUUGAAAGUUUGUGAUGUCAUGGAACCCAGAUACAAAAUGGUCAAGCUUCUUGUAGACAACCUGUUUCAAGGCCAACUCAUUGUGAGCCCAGAAAAAAAAUACAAGCAGCAGCUAAGUUUGCAGUUUAGGAUAACUUCAUUCUAAUUUAUUGUUACAGUUACUACAAGAUUUUAAUAAAACGAUAAAUUUUAUUUGUCUGUAAUUAACCCCUUCACUCCUAAGAGUGCUUGGUUUUCAAAUAUAAUUUAAGAUAUUGUAUUUUAUGGAAAAGAAUCAACAGAUUUUAUUCACAAUUUGUGUCAAACCAAAUUUAAUGAUUGAUUAGAACUAUUUUAUAUGAAUAGCUGUAAUUGAGGAUUAAUCCAUAUGAAGUUUUCAAGAAAAGAAAAAUCAAAUUCCAUCCUAAUAUUACCACACAUUGAUGUUAAUAAUGAAUAAAAAAUAUUUUACAUGUAAGCCUUAAUUAAGCUUCUAAAUAAAUUUCAUUGAAUACUUGAA